rnacentral:rRNA from 1 species
AUUGAACGCUGGCGGCAUGCCUUACACAUGCAAGUCGAACGGUAACAGGUCUUCGGAUGCUGACGAGUGGCGAACGGGUGAGUAAUACAUCGGAACGUGCCUAGUAGGGGGGGAUAACUACUCGAAAGAGUGGCUAAUACCGCAUGAGAUCUACGGAUGAAAGCAGGGGAUCGCAAGACCUUGUGCUACUAGAGCGGCCGAUGGCAGAUUAGGUAGUUGGUGGGAUAAAAGCUUACCAAGCCGACGAUCUGUAGCUGGUCCGAGAGGACGAUCAGCCACACUGGGACUGAGACACGGCCCAGACUCCUACGGGAGGCAGCAGUGGGGAAUUUUGGACAAUGGGCGAAAGCCUGAUCCAGCAAUGCCGCGUGCAGGAUGAAGGCCUUCGGGUUGUAAACUGCUUUUGUACGGAACGAAAAGCCCCGGGUUAAUACCCUGGGGUCAUGACGGUACCGUAAGAAUAAGCACCGGCUAACUACGUGCCAGCAGCCGCGGUAA